AGUAUCAUGCAUUGAUGGCACCGAGGACGUCGCCAAAACAAAUGGGGGAGAAUGUCAAGGACCGCAGCUUUACUUAGCCCCUUGACACUAUCGCAGCCGCAGUUUGCCCAACUUCGGCCGCACAUUGUAAAUAUUACUUCAAGUUUGAGUUGUAAUUUUCGUUUCAUUGUAAUAGUUAUUUUAAUUGUAAAAUAGCUCUGAUAUUGGUAAAAGAUUAGUAUGAUUCCUCGUCUUUUAAACGUCUAC
rnacentral:lncRNA from 1 species